UACGUAGGGUGCGAGCGUUGUCCGGAAUUAUUGGGCGUAAAGAGCUUGUAGGCGGUCUGUCGCGUCUGCUGUGAAAAUCCGGGGCUCAACCCCGGACUUGCAGUGGGUACGGGCAGACUAGAGUGUGGUAGGGGAGACUGGAAUUCCUGGUGUAGCGGUGAAAUGCGCAGAUAUCAGGAGGAACACCGAUGGCGAAGGCAGGUCUCUGGGCCAACUACUGAC
rnacentral:rRNA from 1 species